rnacentral:rRNA from 1 species
UGCCAGCCGCCGCGGUAAUACGUACUGUGCGAACGUUAUUCGGUAUCACUGGGCUUAAAGGGUGCGUAGGCGGUCGUCUAAGUAGGGUGUGAAAUCCCCCGGCUCAACCGGGGAACUGCGCUCUAAACUGGACGACUUGAGUAAGAUAGGGGUGUGCGGAACUUCCGGUGGAGCGGUGAAAUGUGUUGAUAUCGGAAGGAACACCAGUAGCGAAGGCGGCACACUGGGGGAUGACUGACGCUGAGGCACGAAAGCUAGGGGAGCGAACAGGAUUAGAUA